rnacentral:piRNA from 1 species
UGGCAGACCCAGCGACAGGAGUUUUGGUA